UGCAGUCGAGCGGUAGCACAUAAGAGCUUGCUCUCGGGUGACUAGCGGCGGACGGGUGAGUAAUGUCUGGGAAACUGCCUGAUGGAGGGGGAUAACUACUGGAAACGGUAGCUAAUACCGCAUAACGUCUCUAGACCAAAGGGGGGGACCUUCGGGCCUCAUGCCAUCUGAUGUGCCCAGAUGGGAUUAGCUAGUAUGUGGGGUAACGGCUCACCUAGGCGACGAUCCCUAGCUGGUCUGAGAGGAUGACCAGCCACACUGGAACUGAGACACGGUCCAGACUCCUACGGGAGGCAGCAGUGGGGAAUAUUGCACAAUGGGCGCAAGCCUGAUGCAGCCAUGCCGCGUGUGUGAAGAAGGCCUUCGGGUUGUAAAGCACUUUCAGCGGGGAGGAAGGCGUUAAGGUUAAUAACCUUGGCGAUUGACGUUACCCGCAGAAGAAGCACCGGCUAACUCCGUGCCAGCAGCCGCGGUAAUACGGAGGGUGCAAGCGUUAAUCGGAAUUACUGGGCGUAAAGCGCACGCAGGCGGUCUGUCAAGUCGGAUGUGAAAUCCCCGGGCUCAACCUGGGAACUGCAUUCGAAACUGGUAGGCUAGAGUCUUGUAGAGGGGGGGUAGAAUUCCAGGUGUAGCGGUGAAAUGCGUAGAGAUCUGGAGGAG
rnacentral:rRNA from 1 species